UAGGGAAUCUUCCACAAUGGACGCAAGUCUGAUGGAGCAACGCCGCGUGAGUGAAGAAGGUUUUCGGACCGUAAAGCUCUGUUGUUGGUGAAGAAGGAUAGAGGUAGUAACUGGCCUUUAUUUGACGGUAAUCAACCAGAAAGUCACGGCUAGCUACGUGCCAGCAGCCGCGGUAAUACGUAGGUGGCAAGCGUUGUCCGGAUUUAUUGGGCGUAAAGCGAGCGCAGGCGGAAGAAUAAGUCUGAUGUGAAAGCCCUCGGCUUAACCGAGGAAUUGCAUCGGAAACUGUUUUCUUGAGUGCAGAAGAGGAGAGUAGAACUCCAUGUGUAGCGGUGGAAUGCGUAGAUAUAUGGAAGAAUACCAGUGGCGAAGGCGGCUCUCUGGUCUGCAACUGACGCUGAGGCUCGAAAGCAUGGGUAGCGAACAGGAUUAGAUACCCUGGUAGUCCAUGCCGUAAACGAUGAGUGCUAAGUGUUGGGAGGCUUCCGCCUCUCAGUGCUGCAGCUAACGCAUUAAGCACUCCGCCUGGGGGAGUACGACCGCAAGGUUGAAAC
rnacentral:rRNA from 1 species